CCUGUGGCCGGGCUUGGAGCGGAGAUGCCAGGAUAGGAGGUGACACCUGACACCCUGCACUGUGACUUUCUGGGGACAUCCCAGCUGGGACCCUGGAGUCGUGUGGGAAAUUGCAGGACCCGCUCGCCUGGGUCACGUCGCUGUUGGGAGCAUGCUGGCUCUCGCAGGCCCUGGGGCUGGGCAGGACGAGGCACCCUGGAGCCCACCGAAGCCCAGCCAGCCUGAGCGCACAGCUGCGGUUCCCU